UCUCUCUCUCCGUUGAGCUAUUCAUGGGUUCUGUUAAUCAUUUUUAUGGGUAUAUUGCGUUGGUUGGUUGUGAAGUUUUUCUACAGGUUUGGGUUGAUUAUAUAUUUCGUUCUGCAGAAUUGUUCUAGUUUGGUUAAACUGGAGGUUAUUGUACUGGGUGAAGUUUUGGUUUCUGUUUUGUUAUGUUUUGCAUUGGUCAGAUUUUUUUUUUGGGGUCCGCUGUGUUGGUCGAAAUAUGGGUGUUUAGGGGAAAAUUUUAGCUUUCUCUGCGGGGGCUGCUCGGCGAAAAUGGGUCAAAGGGAGAAAUUUUAUUGGGUUUCUCUUGUUUUCAGUUGGGGUCAGAAUGGGAUCAAAGGUUCACAGAAUGUGAUUGAUAAUUAGUUAUUUUGUUUGUCGAAUUGGGUAUAUUUGUCUUAAUUUGAAGUGAUGAAUAUCAUAAUUUUUGUUGGAAAUGUACUUUCAUGGCAAUAGAUUAGGAUAUGAUUGGUUAUGUCUUUGUCUUGUAAAUUUUUAUUAAAGCUAUGGUGGUGGGGCUUACCUUUUUCAUUGCUGCAAAGAUAGAGUUAAAAAAAUGCUUGUUUCUUGAGUGCCAAAAGGCAUUCUAACUGUUAUAGAGCUUUAUUUUUUAUUUGCGUGUGUGUUUGGUGAUGAUUAGUUUACUGAAGAUUGGAGGCCAAGAAAAUAGCACUAAGUAGUGGUAUUUGUUUUGUUAAAUUCUAGAAGCUUGUAGAUGGUCCAGCACAAGGUUUGGUUAUGAAUAUGGUGAUGACUGGGAAUUGCUUCUUUGGUUAUGACUUAUUUUAUGUAUUGUCGUGAAUAUUCUGCUUUGGCAUGCUUGUUGCUUUAAUAGAGAAGGGGCUUGGCAUUUUACUCUUUGUUGUGGGGUUGUCAUGGAUUGGCCGACCAGAAUUUUGAAUUGAUUGUUGUUAAAUGUCCUUUUCAUUCUCCUAAUUUUGUUGAUGCUAGUGUCACUAGUGAAUGUAGCCAAGUGGUUGAUGCUACAUCCACGUUAAUAAAAUUUUCCAGAAUUUAAUAGCUAUUUUAUACAAUAGCCCUUGUAUUAUUUUUUUAGUGUAAGUGUUUCGUUUGAUAAUAAUUUUCUGAAAAUUGUUUUCAAAACUGUGCAUCACAAUAUCCAUUUUUUGAAAAUUUCAUUUGUCAAAUGGCUUGAGAGUUCUUAGUAUAUGUUGGAAUGGAUAGCUCCAGUACAAUGCAUAUAUUCAUAAUGCCUGAGCACAAUUACUUGUGGUAAUUGUGUAUUUGGGUAAUGCAUCAUUCUUGCGGUACAAUUACUUAAUCAUAGCUAUCCUUUCACUGUUCAAAAUGUUAAUUGGCUUUUCAAUGCAGUCUGUUAAUGGUAAUUGUCGUGUCAAAAAAUUUAAAAGAACUUUUGACUUCGUGUGGCCGAAGUUCAUUUUCAUGAUUCAGUGCCUUUAAGUUGUUUGACGAAUUGGCUGUUCCAAACAAAAAUUGAAAGGGCUGCUUACGUGGAUUUUUUCCGGACUGACAUAUUUGAGUUGCUGAAAUGAGUUAUUUAGGUGGAUAUACGGGUCGAGGAAUGAUACUUCUAUUUUUGAAAACUGGAGACUGGGUUUUUUGAGUGGGCUGAUCAUGAAAUGGCCACUUGUGAAACAAGAUUAAUGGAACAAUUGACGGACACAGAAGAAGUAAUGCGAGCUGAAAUUGCUAGGCAAGAAACUGACAAAAUACAAGGCGAAUAUGGAGAAGCACUAUGUCCAGAUUCGGCUGCUGUUAGAGUAGUACCGCACAAGGGAUAAGAAUUACGCUUUAAAGAAACCCCAAAGGAUUGGUUCUAGUGGUAAAGGUUUUGGUCUUUAUGGUAGUUCCAUGAGGUUUAAGGUUCGAAUUCCCUUGGGUGUAAACAAUUCUUUGUAGCCAGCUUGCCGGCAAAGCUGGAGGGGCACUUUACGUGGGUUCGAGAUUCACCUAAUUGGGGUGGGUAUACGAAGUGGCCCUACCUUAAAGGGGUUCUUCGUCAUCAAAAAAGAAUUUCGCUUUAAAGAUGUGUUGGGCUGCUGUUGUUUUUGUUAUUUUUUAUUACAACAAUACUAGUAUAAUAAGAUGAUGUUAAGAUUGAGUGAGAACAAUUUACUUUACGGUGGAUGCCAUGCUCUAUGAUGUUCUGUUUGGACACAUGUUUUUGAAUCAUUUUAAAGCUAGCUUUUUAACA